rnacentral:rRNA from 1 species
CCACUAGCGUAUAUUAUUGAUGUUGCAGUUGAAACGUUCGUAGUCGUCUUUUGUCCAUUUCCCCGUUAUGUGCUUUUACGCACAGUACGCGGCUUGGAUAGUCCGUCUCAGAUCAAUUAGCAUAUUGCUAUUGUUUGAGAUGAUUACCUUGAUUGAAUCGGCGCGCUCAACGCAGGCUAUUGCAUUGUACGAUCAACCAUGGGAUAAUUACAUUUUGGUCGCAUCAUCUAAGCUUUGUCGGGUGAGCGAUCUAAAAAUACGGGAAUGGUUAAGGGCAUUCGGAUUGUGUAGCCAGAGGUGAAAUUCUAAGACUUACACAGGCCGAUCAAUGGCGAAAGCAUUUGUCCGAAACGUGUCCCUCGA